rnacentral:rRNA from 2 species
GGGUUGUGAGGUUAAGCGACUAAGCGUACACGGUGGAUGCCCUGGCAGUCAGAGGCGAUGAAGGACGUGCUAAUCUGCGAUAAGCGUCGGUAAGGUGAUAUGAACCGUUAUAACCGGCGAUUUCCGAAUGGGGAAACCCAGUGUGAUUCGUCACACUAUCAUUAACUGAAUCCAUAGGUUAAUGAGGCGAACCGGGGGAACUGAAACAUCUAAGUACCCCGAGGAAAAGAAAUCAACCGAGAUUCCCCCAGUAGCGGCGAGCGAACGGGGAGGAGCCCAGAGCCUGAAUCAGUGUGUGUGUUAGUGGAAGCGUCUGGAAAGGCGCGCGAUACAGGGUGACAGCCCCGUACACAAAAAUGCACAUGCUGUGAGCUCGAUGAGUAGGGCGGGACACGUGGUAUCCUGUCUGAAUAUGGGGGGACCAUCCUCCAAGGCUAAAUACUCCUGACUGACCGAUAGUGAACCAGUACCGUGAGGGAAAGGCGAAAAGAACCCCGGCGAGGGGAGUGAAAAAGAACCUGAAACCGUGUACGUACAAGCAGUGGGAGCACAGAGCAAUCUGUGUGACUGCGUACCUUUUGUAUAAUGGGUCAGCGACUUAUAUUCUGUAGCAAGGUUAACCGAAUAGGGGAGCCGAAGGGAAACCGAGUCUUAACUGGGCGUUAAGUUGCAGGGUAUAGACCCGAAACCCGGUGAUCUAGCCAUGGGCAGGUUGAAGGUUGGGUAACACUAACUGGAGGACCGAACCGACUAAUGUUGAAAAAUUAGCGGAUGACUUGUGGCUGGGGGUGAAAGGCCAAUCAAACCGGGAGAUAGCUGGUUCUCCCCGAAAGCUAUUUAGGUAGCGCCUCGUGAAUUCAUCUCCGGGGGUAGAGCACUGUUUCGGCAAGGGGGUCAUCCCGACUUACCAACCCGAUGCAAACUGCGAAUACCGGAGAAUGUUAUCACGGGAGACACACGGCGGGUGCUAACGUCCGUCGUGAAGAGGGAAACAACCCAGACCGCCAGCUAAGGUCCCAAAGUCAUGGUUAAGUGGGAAACGAUGUGGGAAGGCCCAGACAGCCAGGAUGUUGGCUUAGAAGCAGCCAUCAUUUAAAGAAAGCGUAAUAGCUCACUGGUCGAGUCGGCCUGCGCGGAAGAUGUAACGGGGCUAAACCAUGCACCGAAGCUGCGGCAGCGACGCUGAUGCGUUGUUGGGUAGGGGAGCGUUCUGUAAGCCUGUGAAGGUGUGCUGUGAGGCAUGCUGGAGGUAUCAGAAGUGCGAAUGCUGACAUAAGUAACGAUAAAGCGGGUGAAAAGCCCGCUCGCCGGAAGACCAAGGGUUCCUGUCCAACGUUAAUCGGGGCAGGGUGAGUCGACCCCUAAGGCGAGGCCGAAAGGCGUAGUCGAUGGGAAACAGGUUAAUAUUCCUGUACUUGGUGUUACUGCGAAGGGGGGACGGAGAAGGCUAUGUUGGCCGGGCGACGGUUGUCCCGGUUUAAGCGUGUAGGCUGGUUUUCCAGGCAAAUCCGGAAAACUAAGGCUGAGGCGUGAUGACGAGGCACUACGGUGCUGAAGCAACAAAUGCCCUGCUUCCAGGAAAAGCCUCUAAGCAUCAGGUAACAUCAAAUCGUACCCCAAACCGACACAGGUGGUCAGGUAGAGAAUACCAAGGCGCUUGAGAGAACUCGGGUGAAGGAACUAGGCAAAAUGGUGCCGUAACUUCGGGAGAAGGCACGCUGAUAUGUAGGUGAAGUCCCUCGCGGAUGGAGCUGAAAUCAGUCGAAGAUACCAGCUGGCUGCAACUGUUUAUUAAAAACACAGCACUGUGCAAACACGAAAGUGGACGUAUACGGUGUGACGCCUGCCCGGUGCCGGAAGGUUAAUUGAUGGGGUCAGCGCAAGCGAAGCUCUUGAUCGAAGCCCCGGUAAACGGCGGCCGUAACUAUAACGGUCCUAAGGUAGCGAAAUUCCUUGUCGGGUAAGUUCCGACCUGCACGAAUGGCGUAAUGAUGGCCAGGCUGUCUCCACCCGAGACUCAGUGAAAUUGAACUCGCUGUGAAGAUGCAGUGUACCCGCGGCAAGACGGAAAGACCCCGUGAACCUUUACUAUAGCUUGACACUGAACAUUGAGCCUUGAUGUGUAGGAUAGGUGGGAGGCUUUGAAGUGUGGACGCCAGUCUGCAUGGAGCCGACCUUGAAAUACCACCCUUUAAUGUUUGAUGUUCUAACGUUGACCCGUAAUCCGGGUUGCGGACAGUGUCUGGUGGGUAGUUUGACUGGGGCGGUCUCCUCCUAAAGAGUAACGGAGGAGCACGAAGGUUGGCUAAUCCUGGUCGGACAUCAGGAGGUUAGUGCAAUGGCAUAAGCCAGCUUGACUGCGAGCGUGACGGCGCGAGCAGGUGCGAAAGCAGGUCAUAGUGAUCCGGUGGUUCUGAAUGGAAGGGCCAUCGCUCAACGGAUAAAAGGUACUCCGGGGAUAACAGGCUGAUACCGCCCAAGAGUUCAUAUCGACGGCGGUGUUUGGCACCUCGAUGUCGGCUCAUCACAUCCUGGGGCUGAAGUAGGUCCCAAGGGUAUGGCUGUUCGCCAUUUAAAGUGGUACGCGAGCUGGGUUUAGAACGUCGUGAGACAGUUCGGUCCCUAUCUGCCGUGGGCGCUGGAGAACUGAGGGGGGCUGCUCCUAGUACGAGAGGACCGGAGUGGACGCAUCACUGGUGUUCGGGUUGUCAUGCCAAUGGCACUGCCCGGUAGCUAAAUGCGGAAGAGAUAAGUGCUGAAAGCAUCUAAGCACGAAACUUGCCCCGAGAUGAGUUCUCCCUGACUCCUUGAGAGUCCUGAAGGAACGUUGAAGACGACGACGUUGAUAGGCCGGGUGUGUAAGCGCAGCGAUGCGUUGAGCUAACCGGUACUAAUGAACCGUGAGGCUUAACCUUACAACGCCGAAGCUGUU